GUGGGGAAUUUUGGACAAUGGGCGCAAGCCUGAUCCAGCAAUGCCGCGUGCAGGAAGAAGGCCUUCGGGUUGUAAACUGCUUUUGUACGGAACGAAAAGGCCCUGGUUAAUACCUGGGGCUCAUGACGGUACCGUAAGAAUAAGCACCGGCUAACUACGUGCCAGCAGCCGCGGUAAUACGUAGGGUGCAAGCGUUAAUCGGAAUUACUGGGCGUAAAGCGUGCGCCGGCGGUGCUGUAAGACAGGCGUGAAAUCCCCGGGCUUAACCUGGGAAUUGCGCUUGUGACUGCAGUGCUGGAGUGCGGCAGAGGGGGAUGGAAUUCCGCGUGUAGCAGUGAAAUGCGUAGAUAUGCGGAGGAACACCGAUGGCGAAGGCAAUCCCCUGGGCCUGCACUGACGCUCAUGCACGAAAGCGUGGGGAGCAAACAGGAUUAGAUACCCUUGUAGUCC
rnacentral:rRNA from 1 species